rnacentral:RNase_P_RNA from 1 species
GCCGUUGCCAAUAGUCCAUGCGUACUCGUAUACAAAAGGAUUCCAUUAAGUAAUCAAUUAUUUAAGCGAGUGGGAAAUUCGGUGGUAUGCGCCGUCCCCGGGCUUUCUCUCUAAUAGAGUAGCUCGGUCCCCUGGAUAGCUUAUUGCUGUCUUCCUCUUGAGAGGUUCCUGGGCGUGCAAGCGCCGGGCAGUUCCACAAGAAAUUUCUGGGAGGCGAUGCGGAGAGAAAAAGAAGGGUUUCCCACGAAUCCCGUCUCUCGUCUCCCCCGUCGCCCUCCACUGGGAGUGUUCUGCGGACGGUUGGCCCUUUAAAUUGGUACUUGCUUGUACAACUUUGGAGGGCUGUUGAGUGCAAUGCGUGGAUCCUUGUCAUCUUGACAUGGAAACUCGAUACCGAUCACUAUGGUGACGGU